rnacentral:tRNA from 1 species
GCCUUCGUAAUGUAAUGGUCAGCACACGCGGUCCGUAUUCGAGAGGUCUGAGGUUCGACUCCCGGCGAGGGCA